ACUGAGCAACUGAGUUGAACUGAACUGUGUUUAGGCACAGGGACUUGUGUUAUUCAGUAACAGAAGGAGGGAGAUGGAGGAGAGUGGGGUGGAUGCUGGUGUCAGGGAAAGGCCCAGGAAGAAAGGAAAAUGGACCAAAAGGGGCUCCCCAGAGGGAGGAAGGCGGACAGUGUGGGGGGGCUGGGCCAGCAGGGCAGUGUGGGCAGCAGGGAGUGGACCCAGACUGCAGAGUUCAGUGCUGAGAUGGUUACUUGACUGGGCUAAGGGAUGCCCAGAAGGCUGGUAAAACUAUUCUGGGUGUGUCUGUGGGGUUGUUUCCGUAAGAGAUUAGCAUUUGAAUUCAGAGACUCUGGAAAGGGUCAUGGUCAUCAGUGAGGGUUUUGCCCAGUCCUCUGAGGGCCUGGAGACAGCAAAAAGGCAGAGUUGGGGGAAGGAGCAUCAGAGGAUUAGGGGGGUGACAGCGUGGAGGAUGGAGCUUGUUUUCUGAGCCUGGACAUCUGUCUCCUAAUAUUGCCUUUGGUUCUGGUUCUCAGGCCUUCAGGCUCAGAAUGGGACUUGUGCUGCUACUGCCCUCGUUCUCCUGCCUCCAGGUUUGGAGAGAAACCACACCACCAGCUUUUCCAUGCCUCCAGCUUGCAGAUGGCAUGGCAGCUUCUGGGACUUCUCAGCUUCCAUCAUCAUGAAGGCCACUAACAAGAGUCAGCAGAACUCCUUCAGCCUCCAGAGACUUUUCUUGCAAAGUCCAGAGCAUCAGGGUCUUGAAAGCUCCUCCAGGUGUUUGACGCUGAAUAAACGUUACUCCUUGUCACGGAGUAUGUGAGUGGA